GGAGGUGGAGCUGGGGCUCAGAAAUAGAGCAUUUGCUUGGCAUGCAGGAGGCCCCAGGUUCAAUACUCAGGCAUCUCCA
rnacentral:tRNA from 1 species